UACGGAGGGGGCAAGCGUUACUCGGAAUUACUGGGCGUAAAGCGUGCGCAGGCGGCUUCGUAAGCUAGAGGUGAAAUCCCCGGGCUCAACCUGGGAAUGGCCUUUAGGACUGCGAGGCUGGAGUGUGGCAGAGGGGGGUGGAAUUCCUGGUGUAGCAGUGAAAUGCGUAGAGAUCAGGAGGAACACCGAUGGCGAAGGCAGCCCCCUGGGCCAGCACUGACGCUCAUGCACGAAAGCGUGGGGAGCAAACAGG
rnacentral:rRNA from 1 species